rnacentral:sRNA from 1 species
CUGUGCAAAGCAAUGUCCCACAGGGACAUAAUGUACUCGGGGUUUCAAAUAACAAGAAGAAAUGUGCCUAUUGAGCAGAUGUGGGAAGCUAUAAAUAUUUCAUCUGCUGUUGUCCCUCAGGCACCCCUGGGUUGAAUGGAAUAUCAUUGUUUCUUUUGAAGUCCUAAGUCUGGCUCAGAGACAGACGCUUGACUCUUUCCUGCUGCCUAGUCUGCUGAGCGGAGCUUCAGUCUCCACCAUCAAUCAUCCAGUAAGGAAUUUGCACUUACACAAGGAACUGUUCCUCGGAGAGAUCCCCUCCUGAACCCACCUGCAGUUCACCAGCCCCAGACCAAGAGCAGCUUCUCUACGCCUCUCUGAAAUGUCCAUCCACUCCAGAGAACCAGCCCCUGACACCCACCCCCUUGCCCUGCCUGCACCGAUUGUGCAAGGAGGGAAGGUCAACAGAGCCAAGUCCAUUGAGGGAUAUCAAGAGAAGCCAGAGUAAACCCUAAGUCCUUGUUCACAAUGAAAUCUGAUGGCAAUUAAAUUCUGGCAUUUUCCCCAGCUACUGUAUGAAGAGGAUGCUGAAGGCCAUUACUAUACAGCAUACUUCAACAUAAGGACUCUUCCGUUCACCAAUUCUGGCACACUUCCAAAAUAUACCCAACAAUCCAGUUUUAUUUCUGUCCAGGAGGCUGGGUGCCAAGGAUCGAAUAUAAGCACAGGUACAUAUAAGCAGCAAGAUUACAGUCAAUAGACUCUGAAUAUUGAAAAUGGCAGACAUAGCGAGGCCGGCGAUGCCACAGCCACAUCACCCUUCCAGGCCCCAGGCAGAAGCUUAACAUCAUUCUUUUGCAUGCUGAAAUACAGUUGUCCCAGAAACAUUUCUUAAAUAGACCAUUCUUUCUCCCCAGUGAAUUGUCUUCACAUCCUUGCUGAAAAUCUAUAGACCAUAAAUGUAAGAGUCUAUUUCUGUACUCUUGAUUCUAUUUCAUCGGGCUAUAUGUCUAAUCCUUAUGCCCAUACCACACUGUCUUGAUUACUGUAGCUUUGUAGUAAGUUUUAAAAUCAGGAAAUGUGAGUCUUCAAGUUGGUUCUUCUUUUCCAAGAUUCUUUGACUAUUGUGAAUCCUCUACCAUUCCACAUAAAUUUUAGGGUCAUCCUGUCAAUUUACACAAAAAAGUUAACUGGGCUUGUGGUAGGGACUAUGUUAAAUUCAUCAAGUUGGGGAGUACUUCUAUCUUAUCAAUACUAAGCCUCCCAAUUCAUGAACAUGGGAUGUCUUUCCAUUUCUUUAGAUCUUUAACUUCUUCCAACAAUGUUUCAUAAUUUUCAAUGUACAAGCCUUGCACUUCUUUAUACAGUAGUAUUUGUACAUCUUCUUUCACAGGAUAAUUAUAAUGAGCAGCUAAACCAGAUGAUCCUGUCUCCUGGAAAAUGAGGACAAUAUUGAACUGAGCCAGGAGUAUCUUAAAAAUGCUUUUUCAUGUUUGUUACAAAUAACUUUUCAUGGCACCAUUAUAAAAGAAAAUUUCCAGGAAAUGUUUGACAUUCAUUUGCUGUAGAAUUUAGGUGUUCUGAUCCGUAGAGCAUGCUCAGCUAACUCCCAUUGCAGGUAAGGUGCUAUGGCCCAAUUUCACACAUACUUUGUAUUAAGUCCUCUGCUUCAACCUCCUUUUCUAAAAAGAUCUUCCUCAAGUUGAAAAUAUAUAACCAGGAAAACCAGCCUUAACAGACUUUCUUAAAAUAGCAUAAGAGAGGAAAUUACUGUUCAGUCCAGGACCUUCAUGUAAAGCAAACAACUGAUCUCAAUUGCCCAGCACUUUCCUGGUUUAGUACAAAAAGCCCCAAUCCCAGAAAAACAUAUCAGUUACAGGAAAACCAGGUCACCUGAGCUCCCUACCUGCAUGCCCCAUGUUCUUCACUCUCCUUUUCUAAAGAGUCACUAAUUUAAUUCAUUCAACAAAUAUAUUUUUAUUACUCACCAAGUGCAGCACACAGAUCAAUAAAGAUUCAAUUCCUGCCUUUACAGCGCUUACAGAUAAUUUUUUAAUGUUUCCUGGCUAGAGUAAAAUCAGAACUUUGUAAAUAGAAUCUCUUCACUCUUCCAUUUUAUAAACUGAGCUAUGGAAGUAGGCAAAUAUUUCUACUGCACAUUUUGUAAAAUGUAUUUAUAGAUAACGUUAUUUCAUCCUCGGCAUGAUAUCUAAAUCCAGAGCAGUUCCAUCUAAAAUAAUAUUCCCUCUGGGCUCCCACUGACCAAAUUCAUACCGAUUCAACAUCAAGGAAAAUGACUUUAAAUUAUUAUAACCUAUUAAAUAAAAAAUAUCCAUGAGUUCAUAGUGAUACAUAAAAUACCAGCCAAUAAAUGUAGAAGACAUGAAAGAAUUAGAAAAUCAUGAUUUUUCAAUAUCCAGUAAAUGACCACUAAAAAUGUUGCAUAUUGGAGAACAGGGUAUCCCUACAGUGCCGAAGAAUCAUCUCACAAAUUACUGAUUAAUUACAAGUGCCAAAGUGUACAUUUACAAUGUGGAGAUCUGAUAGUCACUAUCUGAACUCAGUCUCAGGCUUAACAUUAUCAAUACAGGGGCAACCUGACAUUAUAUGUCUCCUGAUAAGACAUGAAGUCACAAAAUCAUGUUUGUGGCAAAUAAAGAAUUAUUGACAAAUCAGCCUAAUCUUAAUCUAAUCUAGUCUUUAGACUGAAGGUUGGCAAACUACAACAUGCAGACCAAAUUCACCCUGCUGCUUGUUUUUACAAAUAUGGUUUUAUUGGAACAUGGCUACACUUAUUCACUGAUGUAUUAUUGACAGCUGCUUUCAACCUACAAUGUCAGAGUUGAGUUGUUGUAACAGAGACUAUAAGGCCACAAAACCAAAAAAAAAAAAUUACUAUCUGACCCUUUAUAGAAAAAGUUUGGUGGCCCCGUUCUUCUAGAUCUAACCUUCAAUCUACAUGAAAUACGAGGGACAGAAGAAGUUAAGUGACAUGAUGAGGAAACAAACUGGCAAAUCCAGAACAUGAGACAUUCAACAAGAAAAUUGACCUAGACUCUUCUAAAGUCAUUAUCAUGAAAAAAGUGGCCAGUAGCUACUCUAGAUUAAGACACAAAACCAGCAAAACAAUCAAAUUCAUUAUCAGUUUUGGUGGAAACUCUAGUUCAAAUAUAUGGUAUAAAAGAUAUUUUGGAGUCAAGCGGGAUAAUUUGACUAUGCAUUGCAUAUUAAAAGUUAUUGUGAAAUUAUAUAUUCCUUUGGGUGUAAUAAUAGUAUCAUGGUUAUAUAAAGAACAUUCUUAUUCUUAGAAUUUGCUGAAGAAUUAUUUAAGACAGAAGUGCUGGCCGGGCACGGUGGCUCACACCUGUAAUCCCAGCACUUGGGGAGGCCGAGGUGGGUGGAUCACCUGAGGUCAGGAGUUUGACACCAGCCUGACCAACAUGGAGAAACCCUGUCUCUACUAAAAAUACAAAAUUAGCCAGGUGUGGUGGCACACGCCUGUAAUCCCAGCUACUCAGGAGGCUGAGGCAGGAGAAUCGCUUGAACCCGGGAGGCGGAGGUUGCAGUGAGCUGAGAUCGCGCCAUUGCACUCCAGCCCGGGCAACAAGAGCGAAACUCUGCUGCAAAAAAAAAAAAAAAAAAAAGAUGGAAGUGCUAUGAUGUCUGCCACUGACUACCAAAUGUUUUGUAUGUGUAAAUGUGUGUGUAUAGAUUGAGAGAGAUGUUUUCUAGGGUGCCACUAUAAUAAUAUUGUUCCAUCUCUAUGGAUGAUAUAUGAGUGUUUAUUGUAUCAAUCUUCUGAAUUUUUUCUAUGUUUUAAAAUUAUAAAUAAAAGUGUCAG